UAGCAAUGAAUAUAUGUAAACCUUUAAAAAUGAAUUAAUGUUUUUGAUAUAGCAUGUUUAAUUCAAGCUAGUCUGUGUUCAAUUAUUGGAAGCAGGGAGUGAACGCUCUAAGAAAUAAAAUAACCUAGGGUGAAACACCUUAUUUUAUGAAAAACUAAUUUUUAGGAGCAUUUUCUUUUAUACUAUGUAAAAAAAUCCCUGAAAGAUGAACAGACUUUGACAGCUGUUAUAGGUGAGAGCCUCAAGUAAAGAUAAAAUUAAAUGUUUUCCUUAAAUGCUAUUGCCCAAAUAAUGAAUAUCCAUAAUUGAAAACUGAGAUUACCUUAUACUUUGCUUUGUUCUCUCUGCCAGAGUCCUACCCACUGUAUUAGUUGUUAGAGUUGUGGAACUUAACCGAAGCUUUCUCUGGAUUCCAGGUAACUUUGUUCUUUUGUUUUUGUUUUUUUCCUGCAGAAUCGAUAUAUGGGCCUGAAAUAUAUUAAGAUGUUUUAAGAAUAUUUUCAGCUGCAUGGCUUGACAGCCUUGGGAUUCCCUCACACAUUCACAGUCUUUUUUGGAUCAGUCUGAUGUGAGCAUGAAAACUGGGAGUUGUGGAGCCCACUUAGGAAAUGAUUGCAAUUGUCCAGGAGACAGAUGAUGGUAAUUAAGUUUCCAUCAGCCUGGAACUCAGGACAGAAGAUACAUAUUCUGUAUGUAGAGAAUCACUGGAGGUCAAAUGUCUUUGCCAAUUUGAGUUUUUCCACUUGAACAAGAAAAGACUGUCAAGGGAAAGCCAAUCAAUUUCACAAUGUUUAGAUGCUGAAGAUACAGGGCACAGCUUCCUUCUUGAAUUGCUUGUUGUUUACCUAGUUGACAAUCUACUGGGAAAAAGAAAUUCCUUUUCCAGAAAAGGUUUUCACCAAUUUCAAGGAAUCCUUUAAUGAAAAGAUAAUCCAGUUACUUAGGACAAAAUGUAUUUGUUGAUUGGAUUAAUAUAUGUUGAGAAUAGACUAUAUGCUA
rnacentral:lncRNA from 10 species